rnacentral:rRNA from 1 species
GACGAACGCUGGCGGCGUGCUUAACACAUGCAAGUCGAACGGAAAGGCCCUGCUUUUGUGGGGUGCUCGAGUGGCGAACGGGUGAGUACACGUGAGUAACCUGCCCUUGACUUUGGGAUAACUUCAGGAAACUGGGGCUAAUACCGGAUAGGAGCUCCUGCUGCAUGGUGGGGGUUGGAAAGUUUCGGCGGUUGGGGAUGGACUCGCGGCUUAUCAGCUUGUUGGUGGGGUAGUGGCUUACCAAGGCUUUGACGGGUAGCCGGCCUGAGAGGGUGACCGGCCACAUUGGGACUGAGAUACGGCCCAGACUCCUACGGGAGGCAGCAGUGGGGAAUAUUGCACAAUGGGCGGUAGCCUGAUGCAGCAACGCCGCGUGCGGGAUGACGGCCUUCGGGUUGUAAACCGCUUUCGCCUGUGACGAAGCGUGAGUGACGGUAAUGGGUAAAGAAGCACCGGCUAACUACGUG